rnacentral:rRNA from 1 species
GACGAAUGCUGGCUGCGUGCUUAACACAUGCAAGUCGAACGGUGAAGGGGAGCUUGCUCCCCGGAUCAGUGGCGAACGGGUGAGUAACACGUGGGCAACCUGCCCCUGACACUGGAAGAACAGUUGGAAACAGCUGCUAAUGCCGGAUAUGACCUUCGGUGACAUCACCUGGAGGGGGAAAGUGCUUAGCGGUCAAGGAGGGGCUCGCGGCCUAUCAGCUAGUUGGUGAGGUAACGGCUCACCAAGGCUUCGACGGGUAGCCGGCCUGAGAGGGCGACCGGCCACACUGGGACUGAGAUACGGCCCAGACUCCUACGGGAGGCAGCAGUGGGGAAUAUUGCACAAUGGGCGCAAGCCUGAUGCAGCAACGCCGCGUGCGGGAUGACGGCCUUCGGGUUGUAAACCGCUUUCAGUUCCGACGAAGCGCAAGUGACGGUAGGAACAGAAGAAGGACCGGCCAACUACGUGCCAGCAGCCGCCGUAACAC